AACGCACAUUGCACCUCUCGUGAGGUAUGCCUGUCUGAGCGUUGAUGACAACUCAAUAGGCCUGGCACAAGCCUGGCCUGUCUUGGGCGUCGCCGGAACCCCGGCGUCGCCUCGAUAGCAUGUCGUUGCUGACGGACGAGAUCCCAUAGGACUCCAUUCCGACUGGCGACCGAACUGGCCAAGCGUUUGACCUCAGAUCAGGUAGGAGUACCGCCUGAACUUAA
rnacentral:misc_RNA from 1 species